GGCCCCAAGCCGCACAAGGAGGCCUAGGGGAGAGGGGCCAGGGGUUGGGCCCAGGGGAGGCCCCACCGCUGGGCAAGGCUUCAAGGGUCCUUCGAGACUACUGAAUCCAAGCCCCCCACCUUCACUAUCCAGACAGGGAAACCAAGGCUCUGGAGGGGAAAGAAGUCUGCGCAGGCUGACACAGCAGAGCUUGUCGAAGCCGGAGACCAAGAGACCUGGAAUGAUAGAGGCCCAGAGAGACAGACACAGAGACGGAGACGGAGAAGGAGAAAGCGCACAGUGAAGGAGGCAGCAGGCGCAGGGAGCGGGGACCAGAGAGACAGCCUGAGCUGGGAGGCUCUCUGCUCCACCCCUGCGCUUGGCAGCCCCGCCGAGGACCCCAACCACCAAGGGCCAGGCUUGCAAGGGUCUGGCCGCAGCCGGAUAGGAAGGAGGCCAGGAGUGGGCCGGGGUCGCCGAGCAAGAACCCUGGGGAGCGGCCACGUGACCGGGCACCCGCAGCCUCCAGGUUGCAGGGACAGAGGUCCAAAGAUGGACCCACUCCUCACAGUGAAUCAGAAGGACCCCCUUGGGCAGGAAAACUGAGGCCAAGAGAAAACCUGGGACAGGUGCCAAUGUUCUGACCUCAGGCUGAGGUGGCCAGCGGGACACUGAUGCUCACCUGACCGGGCAGCCCUGGCUCCAGUCCCAGCUCCGAUGUGGGGCUGUUGGCUCAAGACCCAGCGUUCGGACCACAUCCACUGCCUACUCUUUUCCCACAGAACGCCCCCUGCCCUGCCAUACGUAAACCUCCCUAUCAAAGUCACUUUCCCUGUCCUGCCCCUCGCAGACAGGGAACCGGGACUGAGACCAAGAGGAAGUGGCUCCUCUUGCAGGCAGAAGUGGGACACGGCUCGAGUGCCCUGCUGGUGGCCUCUUCCUCUCUUCUGCACACCUCUCUCUCCCCCCAACCCUUGGCGUCCCCUCGAACAAACUGGAGCAGAUCCCUAGCUGGGAAUUAGGGGGUGUGGGUUCCAGCCCCAGCUCUAUCACCCAUCUACAGUGCAGUUGUGUCCCUUUCUGAGCCUUGGUCUUCCCAUCUGUACACGGAGUGCAUGGGGCUGCCCUGGAUGCACUUCCAGGGCUGCCUUGCUGUGGCUCUCAGGACCCUGCUCUGGAAGGAAGAGGGCUGUGCAGAGUUGGAAUGCUGGGGUGGGGGUGGGGGCCAGGGAGGGGCCCCCCCGGCCUGGAUGUCAUGACUCAGCUCAGAGAAGGCAGCCAGCUUUAGGCCUGGGAGUGUGUGGGGGCAAGAGGCAUCUGGAGCCAGGGACUGAGUCCUCCCUCCAGCAGCUGGGAGAGCACGUGAGUGAGGGCCACUCUGACUUGACCUGGCAGAGUGUGGCCCGUGUGGCCCAUGUGGCCCAUGUGGCCUUACUCCAAGUGGGCUGAGAUGUAGGUGCGCUCUUGCAGCAUGGGGGCCGGGGGGACUUCAUCCUGGGAGCCAGGGAGGACCGCAGGGUCCAUUGGGUAGAGGGGGUGGAAGCCUGGGAAGGGGCCAAGGCUGUGGGGCUCCCGCCUGCCACCCUCAAUCCAAAGCCCCACUUCUAUCUGUUGGUGAAGGCUCAGCACUCCCCCUCCAGCACAGUGAAUCUCCCCGCAAGCCUGAGGAUCACAUCAAGGCCAGAGAGAGAGCAACCUGGCCCAAUCACACAGCGACGACACAGCUUGGUGCUCCUGGCCUUCCCCUCUGCCAUGCUCCUCUAGAGCCGCAGGGCCUUCAUGUGUCCAGGUACCUAUGAACUCCCCCAAACCAAGCAGAAGAAAUCCACUAAGUUGGGGCCUGGCAUGGGCUCUAGCUGUUCUGGAAGUCCAGGUGGGGAGAAUAACAGUGCCAGUUCCAUGGGCUGGCAUUCUGAUCCCCCUACCCCUGUCCCCCCGCCCCCGGCACCAGCUUGGUGGCCUCUGGCUGUCCUAUUGCACUGCCCUCCUUCUGUCUCCUCACCUCUGAUGUGUCCCCUCCUGCCUCUUCUCACACCGCAGCCCAGCCCGAGGAACCUUUCUGAAAUACCUCUCUGAUCAUGUCCUCCCCUGCCCCCUCCGUGGCUCUCUCUCCGUCACCCCCAGGAAGUGGCUGGCUUCUUAGCUCAGCCUUUAAGAAACUUGGUGCCCUGGCCCUGGCGACAGCUCAUCGUGACUGGGGACAGGAGGUUGCUGCCUUCCCAGCUCCCCAGGGCCCAAGCAAGGCCCCCACACUCGUCACUCACUCUGUGCUUUUCUCCCCAGGAGGCCUCCCCAGGGACACAAUGGAAAGAAAUGACCUAUUUUCUGGAAGUUCAAAAUAAAACGAAACAUCUGUCUGGAUCAGAGCCAGGCUGAUAAAGAACGGACUGAUUCCCCCCACCGCCGAAGCCCCCCCUCCUCUUGCCACACACCCCCUCACCCGCCAGAGUGUGUGUGCUUGGGGGUGGGGGACAACACGGGCCCAGUUACUUGGAACAGCUCGUGGGAAAGCGCUCAGUGUGUGCCUCACGGCCACUGGGGGCCCAGGGGAGGGGGCCUGGGUCCCCACACAGGCUGGGAACCGUCCUGAGAAGGAGGUCAGGGAGGGAGGGAGGCCCGCCGCGUGCUCCUGCAGAGCAAACACUUCCUGCCUUCUCCGGCGCCUCGCUGGCCUCCCUGCUCAUCCAUCCCGUGUGGCUG